rnacentral:lncRNA from 1 species
CUUUUGACAUGGUAUCUGAAUGACCUUGAUUAUAGGUGAAGCUGCUCAGCUACCUCCGGGCAUCCGCCCAAUGAAAAAUGCAAGAAGACCCAUUACUCAGUCAUAGAUGAAGCUCGGCUAUUUAUGCGGAUGGACGUACCUCGGACUUCCUUUCAAUUGAUUGAUUCGGGAAGGGCACAAUCCCCUUUUGUCGAGGGAUAUGCGUUAAGAGCAUAUAGCUUGGUCGGCAUUUCCUUCUCAAUAAAGCUUGUUGUCCUGCCUGGCACAGAGCCUAUAUGGAGCUCCGUAUUCCUCUAGGCAUUCCUUCAGGCGCAAGUCUAUCGAUGUUCACCUACGCAAUUAGAUGGGAUCCCUUGCCAUCAGCUACCAAGCAAUAAUAUCUAUGCGAUCCAUCCGUCCGUCUGCCCCUAGGCACGGUAGUUCUAUGCCACAUACAGGAGUCACCUAGUGAGCCUAGUCGAAUCAGAAUCAU